rnacentral:rRNA from 1 species
UACGAAGGGGGCAAGCGUUGUCCGGAAUUAUUGGGCGUAAAGAGCUCGUAGGCGGUUUGUCGCGUCUGCUGUGAAAACCCGCAGCUCAACUGUGGGCUUGCAGCCGAUACGGGCGGGCUGGGAUUCGGUAGGGGAGACUGGAAUUCCUGGUGUAGCGGUGAAAUGCGCAGAUAUCAGGAGGAACACCGGUGGCGAAGGCGGGUCUCUGGGCCGAUAUCGACGCUGAGGAGCGAAAGCGUGGGGAGCGAACAGG